CCUACGGGAGGCAGCAGUGGGGAAUUUUGGGCAAUGGCCGAAAGGCUGACCAGCAACGCCGCGUGAAGGAUGAAAUUUUUCGGAAUGUAAACUUCGUAAAUUAGGAAAGAAUAAGUUUGUACUAAUACUGCAAGCGAUGACGGUACCUAAUGUAAGCCCCGGCUAACUCCGUGCCAGCAGCCGCGGUAAUACGGGGGGGGCAAGCGUUGUUCGGAAUUAUUGGGCGUAAAGGGCGCGUAGGCGGUCAGACUAAGUCGAAUGUAAAAUACCAAGGCUUAACCUAGGCAGGUCGUUCGAUACUAGUCGACUAGAGUGUGGAAGGGGUUGCCGGAAUUCCUGGUGUAGCGGUGAAAUGCGUAGAUAUCAGGAGGAACACCGGAGGCGAAGGCGGGCAACUGGGCCAACACUGACGCUGAGGCGCGAAAGCUAGGGGAGCAAACAGGAUUAGAUACCCUGGUAGUCCUAGCCUUAAACGAUGAUGACUUGGUGUGUCGGGUUUUAAGUCCCGGCGUGCCGGAGCUAACGCGAUAAGUCAUCCGCCUGGGGAGUACGGUCGCAAGACUGAAACUCAAAGGAAUUGACGG
rnacentral:rRNA from 1 species